GGGGGUGUACCGGAUUCGACCUUGUGAACUAGCACGCGGCUGCAUGUCGGAGAUGAUGGAGGCUCCGUAACAAUCCAUUACAAAAACUAAUUGGCGAAGAACAAUUCGCUCUUGCUGCUUAAGUUCAGCAACGUUGCUACCCAGACACCUGCUAAGGGCUAGCGGCGACGACUAGCAGGCAUAACUGCCAAUUUGGCUCUCGCUUGGCAGUUGUAUUUAGAGAGUCUGGAAACUGAAAAGCCUGCUUUUACGGCGCUUCAGUAACGACAAUAAAUUAAAAGAUAUGCAUGUAGACGCCACGUGUGAACAUACGAGGGACGCGGGUUCGACUCCCGCCACCUCCACCA
rnacentral:tmRNA from 1 species